rnacentral:rRNA from 1 species
CAAGUCGAACGAGAAAGUGGAGCAAUCCAUGAGUACAGUGGCGUACGGGUGAGUAACACGUGGGUAAUCUACCUCUUAGUGAGGAAUAACCCUGGGAAACCGGGGCUAAUACCGCAUAAGCCUGAGAAGGGAAAGCAGCAAUGCGCUGAGAGAGGAGCCCGCGGCCGAUUAGCUAGUUGGUGGGGUAAGAGCCUACCAAGGCAGAGAUCGGUAGCCGGCCUGAGAGGGCACACGGCCACACUGGCACUGAAACACGGGCCAGACUCCUACGGGAGGCAGCAGUGGGGAAUCUUGCACAAUGGGGGAAACCCUGAUGCAGCGACGCCGCGUGAGCGAUGAAGCCCUUCGGGGUGUAAAGCUCUUUCGUCAGGGAAGAUAGUGACGGUACCUGGAGAAGCAGCUGCGGCUAACUACGUGCCAGCAGCCGCGGUAAUACGUAGGCAGCAAGCGUUGUUCGGAGUUACUGGGCGUAAAGGGUGUGUAGGCGGUUCUUUAAGUUUGGUGUGAAAUCUCCCGGCUUAACCGGGAGGGUGCGCCGAAUACUGAGGGACUAGAGUACGGGAGAGGAAAGUGGAAUUCCUGGUGUAGCGGUGAAAUGCGUAGAUAUCAGGAGGAACACCGGUGGUGUAGACGGCUUUCUGGACCGUAACUGACGCUGAGACACGAAAGCGUGGGUAGCAAACAGGAUUAGAUACCCUGGUAGUCCACGCCCUAAACGAUGCAUAUUUGGUGUGGGCAGUUCAUUCUGUCCGUGCCGGAGCUAACGCGUUAAUAUGCCGCCUGGGGAGUACAGUCGCAGGGCUGAAACUCAAAGGAUUUGACGGGGGCCCCCACAAGCGGUGGAGCAUGUGGUUCA